AUUGAACGCUGGCGGUAGGCCUAACACAUGCAAGUCGAACGAGUGGCGGACGGGUGAGUAAUGUCUGGGAAACUGCCUGAUGGAGGGGGAUAACUACUGGAAACGGUAGCUAAUACCGCAUACCAUCGGAUGUGCCCAGAGGGGAUUAGCUAGUAGGUGGGGUAAAGGCUCAACGAGGCGACGACCGCUAGCUGGUCUGAGAGGAGGACCAGCCACAGUGGAACUGAGACACGGUCCAGACUCCUACGGGAGGCAGCAGUGGGGAAUAUUGCACAAGGGGCGCAAGCCUGAUGCAGCCAUGCCGCGUGUAUGAAGAAGGCCUUCGGGUUGUAAAGUACUUUCAGCGGGGAGGCGUUACCCGCAGAAGAAGCACCGGCUAACUCCGUGCCAGCAGCCGCGGUAAUUC
rnacentral:rRNA from 1 species